UGAGAAUCCACCAGACAGACCCAAAUUGAGGGGGAUUCUACAAAAUACACGACCCGCACUCUUCUAAGGUGUCAAGGUCAUGAAAAACAAGACUGGAAAACCAACACAGACUGGAGGAGACUAAGAAGACCUGACAACUAAAUGCCAUGUGGGACCCUGGAGGGGACCCGGGAACAGUAGUAGAAGAGCUGGUGACAUCUGAAUGAAGUCUGUAAUUUGGGUAACAGUACUGUACCAAUGUUAAUUUCCCUGCUCUGCCAAUGCGAUGAGGGGCCCCUGCUGUAUGAAAUUGAAGAAAGAGUUGGACAACCAAGACACGUGAAGAGAGAGCAUGAGACUGGCUCCAGCACUCAGCAUUAGGAGAGCAUGGACUUCCUUCCAAUUGUGCCACCUUUCACAGACCUACCCUCAAGAAACCUUCAGCCUGAGUCCCUGUGUCAAAUGUCAAACUCUUGAGAAAGAGACUGAUAAGCUCAGCUCGAGGCCAGGAGAGAGAACCUGCUAUCUCUGGGGUCCAGAACAGAAGAGAUGAUGGCAAUGCACCUUGCAGGUGCAGUUUCCUUGGGGACCCCUGAACAAGGAGGUUGUUAUCUGGCCAUCUUCAUUCCCACCUUGUGGGAACUGGGUCCAGGGAACCAACACAAAUAAGCUGACAACUUGGCUACUGCUUUUGCUAAGAGGACACCAGGCCCAGAGAGAGGAAGAGACUCCCUGGGACAGCAUGCGCAGCCAGUGGCAAAGCCAGGACCCACAUGCCGAUCCCCCCUUCCCCGCAGCCCUCCCUGUGUGGCAGGGUUGGUACCGAUGCGAUACCACAGCCACAGCCCUCCCAACAUCAACCCACUGGGCCGCCUGUGGGCCUCUGCUCUUCAAAGGAAGAAAGAGCUAUUUGGGAUAAUGGUCGCAGAGCCCUCUGAAGUUCCAAAGAGUUGGAAAAAAU
rnacentral:lncRNA from 1 species